GGGUCAGUAGGUUGGUCGUGCCACCGGUACGUACUGGUCUCACUGAUUCCUCCUUCCUGAAGAACCGUAAUGCCAUUAAUUAGGUGUUGCGGGGAAACAGGACUGUUACUUUGAAACAAUUAGAGUGUUUAAAGCAAGCUAACGCUUGAAUACAUUAGCAUGGAAUAAUGAAAUAGGACGAUCGAUCCUAUUUUGUUGGUUUCUAGGAUUGACGUA
rnacentral:rRNA from 1 species